AAAAUAUUCUUUUCCUCAGUACGGAAGACAGAACAGGAACUACGGAGCAAUAGAAAAAGUACCGCAAGGGAAAGCUGAAAAAGAAAUGAAACAAACCAGUUAAGACUACAAAAGCAGAGAUAAAACCUUGUACCUUUUGCAUCAUGAUUUAGCCAGAAACUUCAAGCAAAGAGCUCUUUAGUUUGAAACCCCGAAACUGCGCGAGCUACUCCAAGCCAGCCUAAAAAUAGGGCACACCCCCCUCUGUGGCAAAAGAGUGGGAAGAGCUUUGAGUAGAGGUGACAAACCUACCGAGCUCAGUUAUAGCUGGUUGCCUGAGAAUUGAAUAUAAGUUCAGCCUCCCAACUUCUUUAUUCUUAAGCCCAGCCGCCACGGCUAGCAACCCCUAAGGACAACAAGAAGAAGAGAGAGUUAGUCAAAGGGGGUACAGCCCCUUUGAAAAAGACACAACUUUUCCAGGAGAGUAUGGAUCAAAUUUACUCAAGGAACUAUGUUAAAGUGGGCCUAAAAGCAGCCAUCUUUUUAAAAAGCGUUAAAGUUCAGACAUCCUACCCCCCCCCAUUAUCCUGAUAUUCCCCUCCAACCCCCCUAAUUAUACCAGGCCGUCCUAUAAACAUAGGAGUGACCAUGCUAAUAUGAGUAAUCAGGAAGUCAAGACCUCCUCAUCGCGCAUCUGUAAAUCGGAACGGACACACCACCGAACAUUAACGGCCCCAAUACAAAGAGGGUAUUAAACACUCUACUAAAACACUAGAAAUACCUUUAAACCCAAACCGUUUAACCUACACAGGAGCGCACUUAAAUGAAAGACUAAAAGAAAAAGAAGGAACUCGGCAAACCCCUAAGCCUCGCCUGUUUACCAAAAACAUCGCCUCUUGCUACACCCCGCAUAAGAGGUCCUGCCUGCCCAGUGACACUAAGUUAAACGGCCGCGGUAUUUUGACCGUGCAAAGGUAGCGCAAUCACUUGUCUUUUAAAUAAAGACCCGUAUGAAUGGCAAGACGAGGGCUUAACUGUCUCCUUUUUCCAGUCAAUGAAAUUGAUCUUCCCGUGCAGAAGCGGGAAUAAGUCCAUAAGACGAGAAGACCCUGUGGAGCUUUAGACAAUAGACCCGCUCAUGUCAAUCCUCUUAAAUUAAUACCGAGUAAACCAAAUGGCCUCUGUUCUAAUGUCUUCGGUUGGGGCGACCAUGGGGAAUUACAAAACCCCCACGUGGAUUAGGAGCACCAUCUCCCACCCUCCUACAAACCAGAGAAACACCUCUAGUUAACAGAAAUUCUGACCUAAAAUGACCCGGCAACGCCGAUCAACGAACCAAGUUACCCCAGGGAUAACAGCGCAAU
rnacentral:rRNA from 1 species